ensembl:antisense Gm17225 predicted gene 17225
CUUUAUACCAUGGACCCCAGACUCCUCCGUUGAGCCUAGGGUUGCUUCUGGGAUCCUUCGGGGGGUACCUGACAGGCACGGCAGUCUUGUUGAAUUGUGACAGUCUCCGCAGCAGCUUCUUCACGAUGCCUGGAUACCUGCUGGAUAGGUCCACUCUCUCAUACGGAUCAGCCGUGAUGUUGAAAAGCCAGAUACUCUUGCCAGUUGACAAGAAGCCAGAAGUGUUCAUUGGAGAAUGAAAGUAUCUUCAACAAAUGGUGCUUGGCAAACUGAAGGAUGCAUGGAGAAGAAUCUACAUAGAUUCAUACUUAUCACCCUGUGCAAAACUCAACUCCAAAUGGAUCAAAGACCUCAAAAUAGGGUCAGAUAUAUUGAGUCUGAUAGAAGGGAGAGUAAGGAAUAGUCUUGAGCUCACGGGAACAGCAAAAGGCUUUCUGUAUAGACUAUUAUUAGGCACCAAGAACAAGAAUUAAUAAAUAAUGUUAUAUAUUUACUCU